rnacentral:lncRNA from 1 species
CUUCAUUCAACCCAGACUUGGGCCUGGACCUUUCCCUUUAUGGCCCGUGUUCCACAGCCUGGGGGCUCAGAUGUUUCUCAUAGACAAGGAAGGACUCUCCAGGUUGGCGACUCCUGGAUUCCCUAGCUUGGAAGAUACAUUCAGGUGUGCCUGCCACACAGGGCCAUUCUCAGGCUGUGCUUAAGUUCCUGCGGUCAGGUGCGGUUACCAUACACUCCUAGGUGUUCAGGCCAACAGCUGGUGCCCCGAAACUGGUCAGGAGAGAAGGGACAGGACACCGUGAGGCUGUUUGUUGUGUUCCUAAGGAAGAGAAGAGCCCUCCAGCUGCCCUGGAUUAUUGUCCGGGUGUGACUCAAAUAAUGAUCAUGCCUGUUGACACUUGGAGCUCUCAAAGGGAAUUCUGAGCAGCAAAGGAAAGGUGACACAGAACUCAAGGGCACUUGCGCUGAGCGCUGCCUAUGCAGCUGGCGAUUAAGCCAUUGCCGAAAACAACAAUAAAACAGAUUUUGGGCAAGUAGGGAAUGGUGGAUUGAAUCCAGUGUGGCAAAAAAGGAAAUGCAAA